rnacentral:rRNA from 1 species
CCCUUAGAUGUUCUGGGCCGCACGCGUGCUGCACUGAGUGGAUCAGCGGGCCAGGUUGCGCGAAAGUGUUUCCUAAUCUUUAAAUCCGCUCGUGAUGGGGAUUGACGGUUGCAAUUUUCCGUCAUGAACGAGGAAUACCUUGUAAGCGCGGGUCAUCAUCCCGCGCUGAAUACGUCCCUGCCCUUUGUACACACCGCCCGUCGCUCCUACCGAUUGAGUGGUCCGGUGAGGCUUUGGGAUCUGAGCGGAAAGAGCGUUUCGCUGUUUCUGCCCGGAAAACUCAGUCGAACCUUAUCAUUUAGAGGAAGGAGAAGUCGUAACA